rnacentral:misc_RNA from 1 species
AUUUUGUUCUGAUCAUUUGCAAAAAGCCUCACCAGUUCUCCCUGACGGCCUUGGUCAUCCAUUGGUAUGCACUCAACAGCAAUCAGCUUAUCGACAUCAUCAGCAGUGACAACAUAUUCUGGAUUCGUGGCUCCUUCAAUAUAUUGCCUAGUGCCAUCCUCAAGAUGGCGAACCCACUGAAACAUGCAAAGAGAAGUUCCACGCACAGGAUAUCCACAUCCAAGGAGUUUUUCUCCAGGUGUAGCUUCACCAAUAAUCUGAAA